AUGUUGGAUCUUUUGCAAUGCCUCGGCUUUCCUCAAAGAUGGCGGGCCCUCCUGACGAGUCUCUUCACCACGGCCUCCUCUAGGGUCUUCCUCAACGGAAUCCCUGGGAGGGACAUCCUGCAUGGACGCGAUUUUCGUUAGGGCGAUCCCAUCUCGCCCCUCCUGUUCGACAUCACCAUUGACCCACUUCAGAGACUUCUGGAAAAGGCUACAGAAUCCGGCCUGCUGUCUGCUAUGCCUGGAGGUAUUCAGGGCCCAGGGUCUCCCUAUAUGCGGACGACGCUACCAUUUUUCUAUCCCCCACGACACAUGAUGUGGAAGGCCUUGCUAGCAUUCUACAGAGUUUUGGGGUAG
rnacentral:rRNA from 1 species